AUUUUUUAUUCGUAUUAAUCUUUUUAUUGCUAGUCUUUGGAUUUCCGUUAGGUGGCGUACUUUCUUGUUGCCAGUUUUCGUAAAGCACGGCCAUUAUGGUUUCAGUUCAGUAUGUGGACAACCAAGAAGGGAUUUCUGAAGGCACAUUUGAAGAAGAUAAUAUAUUUAUCGAGCCUACUGUAAAGCUUUCAGUGCAAUGUAUGGCGAACCAGAGAGGCCUUCAUGGGCAAAUUUUGUAUGAUGAUGUGUCACACCCAAUCCGUCUCCAACCUCAGGCUGAGCCAGAUAUUGAUGAUGAAGGCAUUACAGUUGACAUGGAAGAAGAUCAAGGACAGGAAUCGUACUAAUGUGUAUUUGAUGUGAAAAAAGGUUUAGCACCUCUAGGUUAAGAAAUUAACAAGGAAUAAGAUAAAAACGAGAUUACUGUCCACUAAAUUAUAGUUAUAAAUCAAGUUUACAUAAUUCGAUUUUGUUUUAUAAAUAAAAUGUUUAUAAACAAUAUUAGUUUGAGUGUUGAACAAUGACAGAAGAGAAGACAUUACUUUUGUUGCCAAACUUGUUUUCUUAAUAUGAACUUCUUGUAAGGGGAAGUUGUUAUAAUACUAGUUUACUAGUCAAGUAUGCUGCUAAAAGAUGUCUGAAUAAAUGUCCAACACUUUAAAAUGUUUUAAAAUGUACAUGGUUUCUCUUUUUGGAAAACCACCUAAAAUAUAUUGAUGAUGUUUUGUCUACAGGGGCACACAUAUUUGUGUCCAGUAAAAUGCUCUCUACAUCCCAAACUGUUGAAAGUUUUAAACAUAGA